UACGUAGGGGGCAAGCGUUGUCCGGAAUUAUUGGGCGUAAAGCGCGCGCAGGUGGUUCCUUAAGUCUGAUGUGAAAGCCCACGGCUCAACCGUGGAGGGUCAUUGGAAACUGAGGUACUUGAGUGCAGAAGAGGAAAGUGGAAUUCCACGUGUAGCGGUGAAAUGCGUAGAGAUCUUGAGGAAUACCAGUGGCGAAGGCGACUUUCUGGUCUGUAACUGACACUGAGGCGCGAAAGCGUGGGGAGCGAACAGG
rnacentral:misc_RNA from 1 species